CUGUGGUGUAGGUUGCAGGUGCAACUUGGAUCCUGAGUUGCUGUGGCUCUGACAUAGGCCAGUGGCUACAGCUCUGAUUAGACCCCUAGCCUGGGAACCUCCAUAUGCCACUGGUGCACCCCUAGAAAAGGCAAAACAAAAAAACAAAAAAAAGAAGAAGGAGUGGUCAAGAUUACUAAAUACGGUCCUGUCCACUUGGGGUCUAACUGCUCUUAUGGAUUUCCAGGCUUCCAAAUAAACCCAAUCCUAGGGGACAAAAGAUGUGAAUCCAUAUCAGAAGAGAGAGGCAGUUCUGGAUUCCUGAGGUAUUCAUUGAAGACUGAGUAAGUGUGGAGUUUCCAUCAUGGCUCAGUGGUAAUGAAUCCGACUAGUAUCCAUGAGGACCCAAAUUCGAUCUCUGCCCUCACUCAGUGGAUUAAGGAUCCAGUGUUGCUAUGAGCAGUGGUGUAAGGUUGCAGAUGCAGCUCGGAUCUUGCAUAGGCCAGCAGCUGCAGCUCUUUAUUGGACUCCUGCAUGUGCUACAGGUGCAGCUCUAAAAAGCAAAACCAAAACC
rnacentral:lncRNA from 1 species